CCAGCUGGUUGGAAAAAAGCUUGACAGAAGAGGAUAGACCGGUGGAUGUGCCUCAACGUAACUGUUUACUGAUAAAAUAACCUUUUUAUAUUCGACGCUGUAUGUAUUUCUAUGCGUGAAAAGAGGCGGUGGGACCGUAUCUAUCCCGUCGGUAAACCGAGUAACGUUUUUUGUCGAAAUAAAUCCUCGUUUUGUUUAAUCCAGUUGAUCAGACGUGUUGUUGAUUUCAUCUCGCCGAGCCGACUGUCUAGUCAUUUUUUUCUGAUAAACAAGAGCGAUCUCUGUGGAUUAAAUUGAACUACAAAUACGAUGAGUACCUUGAAUUCUGUGGAUCGAGUUGAACUGUGCGACAGCCUUUUAACAUGGAUCCAGACGUUUGGAUUGGAGGCACCAUGCAGGACGGUGGACGAUCUCACAAGUGGGAUCGUCAUGGCCCAGGCCCUACAGAAAAUAGACAUUGUGUAUUUCACUGACAACUGGAUCAGUAGGAUCAAGCCCGAGGUGGGAGAUAACUGGCGUCUGAAGAUCAGUAAUCUAAAGAAGGUGUUGAAAGGUAUACUGGACUACAACCAGGAAGUCCUUCAACAGCAGAUCAAUGACUUCACCCUGCCAGACAUCAACCUGAUAGGAGAACAUUCAGACGCUGCAGAGCUGGGCAGGAUGCUGCAACUCAUACUAGGCUGUGCUGUCAACUGUGAGCAGAAACAAGAAUACAUCCAGACCAUAAUGAUGCUGGAGGAAUCUGUUCAACACGUCGUCAUGACGGCCAUUCAAGAGUUGAUGAGCAAAGAAUGUCCUGUAAUGGGAGGAAACGACUCGUACGCUGACAUGGACAGACAGCUGAAGAAGACGGUGGAGGAUUUGAACGAGGCUCUAGCCACCAAGGAGGAGAUUGCACAGAGAUGUCACGAGCUGGACAUGCAGGUGGCAGCGCUACAGGAGGAGAGGGGUAGUCUCCUGGCUGAGAACCAGAUCCUCAUGGAGCGUCUCAACCAGUCUGACUCCAUAGAAGACCUGAACAGCCCUGUAGGACGUAGACACCUGCAGCUGCAGACACAGCUAGAACAGCUCCAGGAGGAGACCUUCAGGCUGGAGGCAGCGAAGGAUGACUAUCGUAUCCGCUGUGAGGAGUUGGAGAAGGAGCUGACAGAGCUGAGAGGACAGAAUGAAGAGCUCACCUCCCUGGCUGACGAGGCCCAGACACUGAAGGACGAGAUGGAUGUACUCAGACACUCGUCAGACAAGGUGUCCAAGCUGGAGGUCAUGGUGGAGUCGUAUAAGAAGAAGCUGGAGGACCUGGGAGAUCUGAGGAGGCAGGUCAAGCUGUUAGAGGAGAAGAACACUCUGUACAUGCAGAACACUGUCAGUCUGGAGGAAGAAGUACGCAAGGCCAACACCACGAGAGGACAGCUGGAGUCCUACAAGAGACAGGUGGUAGAGCUGCAGAACAAGCUGUCUGAGGAGUCUAAAAAGACAGACAAGAUGGAGUUUGAAUACAAGAGACUCAAGGAGAAGGUGGACUCUCUCCAGAAAGAAAAGGAUCGUAUGAGGUCAGAGAGAGAUUCCCUAAAGGAGACCAUUGAGGAGCUGCGUUUUGUUGAGGCUCAGGAAGGACAACUGUCUACAGGCAUGGUUCCACUCGACAGUAACGAGGGCUCUGAUUCGCUGGCUGCAGAGAUCGUCACCCCAGAGAUCCGAGAGAAGCUGAUCAGACUGCAGCAUGAGAACAACAUGUUGAAGCUGGCCCAGGAGGGUUCUGAUAAUGAGAAGAUCGCUCUGCUGCAGAGUUUACUGGAGGACGCUAACAGUAGGAAGAACGAACUGGAGACAGAAAACAGACUGGUGAACCAGAGACUGAUCGAGGGUCAGAGUCAGGUGGAGGAGCUGCAGAGGAGUCUUCAGGAACAGGGCUCCAAAGCAGACGAUUCCAUCAUUCUGAAGAAGAAAAAUGAUGCUCACAUGGAGAAGUUACGGGAAGUGAACAGUGAACUGCAGAAGAAGUGUGCUCACAUUGAUGACUUGGAGCCCAAGUACACCUCUAGUUCCCAGAAAGUAGAGGAACUGGAAGAGGCGUUGAAGAAGAAGGAUGAAGACAUGAAGCAGAUGGAGGACAGAUAUAAGAAGUACCUGGAGAAGGCGAAGAGUGUUAUCCGGACACUGGACCCUAAGCAGAACCAGGGCUCGGCACCAGAGGUCCAGACCCUGAAGAACCAGCUGCAGGAGAGGGAGAGGAUGCUGCACUCUCUGGAGAAAGACUACGACAAGACCAAGGCUCAGAGAGACCAGGAGGAGAAACUCAUAGUGUCUGCCUGGUACAACAUGGGCAUGGCUCUCCAGAAGAAGGCAGCAGAGGAUCGUCUGGCCAGUACGGGUUCCGGACAGUCCUUCCUGGCCCGCCAGAGACAGGCUACCAGCACACGCCGCUCCUACCCCGGAUACCCGGGACCCCAGUCCGCCACCGCCAGGUAGACAUGGCGCCGUGACUCUUCAACCCGACCUUUGACCUCCGACCCUUCCAGGCCAGGUACCACCACGGCCAGUGAUGACAUUACAUGACCAGCGCAGGCAGGGGUGAUGGGCGGGUGCAUGACCAUGGCUUAAUAAUGAGUCGAGCUGAAAAUAAAACUUCAUCAAUUCAACACUAACCCUCAACUCUAACGGAGGACGGGCCGGGCAGGCGGGCCCAGAUUAUGCCCAGGACUGGGGGGGGUAAGAGCUCUCUACAGACCCAGACGGCGCCGCCCUCUCAGAGGCCACCCUAACCUACCGCCAACCCCCCCCUCCUCCUUCACUCACAGGCCUGCAUCUGCUUGCGAACCUCUAUCGUCAUGACAUACUCUGAGACAACAACAGUAGUCUCUAGUGGGGUAACGGGGAGAGCUGGAGCUAGGGCUGGGGAUAAACAAAACAAAAACAUUUUAAAGAUUCUUCAUGCUGUGUCCAAGGUCAAGGAAACCUCUUGUUCUAAAUGGAUGGUGCAAAGCGAGGACUACAUGGAAGACAGUGUUAUUCUUAGUGACCGGAUGGUUUUCGGUAGACUUUGACAAUGACGAGGAUCAAGCGACUAGCAAUACAUGGUUACUGUACUGUAAACCUGGUGUGUAUCUGUUGGGUGUUCCACUCACUUCUCUCUGUGUGUUUCACUGGGUCUGAGGGAAAAAGAGCAAUAUCAUCUAUUAUUUCACAUGAUCCUCUAAUCAAAUGUGUAUACACUGAGUGUACAAAACAUUAGGAACACCUUCCUAAUAUUGAGUUGCUCUCCCCCCCCCUCGAAUUUAGCCUCAAUUCAUCGGGACAUGGGACUCUACAAGGUGUCUAAAGCGUUCCAAAGGGUUGCUUGCCCCAUGUUGACCCCAAUGCUUCCCACUGUUGUGUCAAGUUGGCUGGAUGUCCUGUGGGUGGUGGACCAUUCUUGAUCCACACGGGAACCUGUUGAGACUGAAAAACCCAGCAGCGUUGCAGUUCUUGACUCAAACCGGUGCGUCUGGCACCUACUACCAAACCCUGUUCAAAGGGACUUAAAUAUUUAGUCUGGUCCAUUCACACUCUGAAUGGCACACAUACACAAUACAUGUCUCAAUUGUCUCUAGGCUUAAAAAUCCUUAUGUAACCUGUCUCCUCCCCUUCAUCUACCCGGUGUCCCAUGUCUAAAUCAGGCCCUGGUGUCCCAUGUCUAAAUCAGGCCCUGGUGUCCCAUGUCUAAAUCAGGCCCUGGUGUCCCAUGUCUAAAUCAGGCCCUGGUGUCCCAUGUCUAAAUCAGACCAUGGUGUCCCAUGUCUAAAUCAGACCAUGGUGUCCCAUGUCUAAAUCAGAACCUGGUGUCCCAUGUCUAAAUCAGACCCUGGUGUCCCAUGUCUAAAUCAGACCAUGGUGUCCCAUGUCUAAAUCAGACCAUGGUGUCCCAUGUCUAAAUCAGAACCUGGUGUCCCAUGUCUAAAUCAGACCCUGGUGUCCCAUGUCUAAAUCAGACCCUGGUGUCCCAUGUCUAAAUCAGAACCUGGUGUCCCAUGUCUAAAUCAGACCCUGGUGUCCCAUGUCUAAAUCAGACCAUGGUGUCCCAUGUCUAAAUCAGAACCUGGUGUCCCAUGUCUAAAUCAGAACCUGGUGUCCCAUGUCUAAAUCAGACCCUGGUGUCCCAUGUCUAAAUCAGACCCUGGUGUCCCAUGUCUAAAUCAGACCCUGGUGUCCCAUGUCUAAAUCAGACCCUGGUGUCCCAUGUCUAAAUCAGACCCUGGUGUCCCAUGUCUAAAUCAGACCCUGGUGUCCCAUGUCUAAAUCAGAACCUGGUGUCCCAUGUCUAAAUCAGAACCUGGUGUCCCAUGUCUAAAUCAGACCCUGGUGUCCCAUGUCUAAAUCAGGCCCUGGUGUCCCAUGUCUAAAUCAGGCCCUGGUGUCCCAUGUCUAAAUCAGGCCCUGGUGUCCCAUGUCUAAAUCAGGCCCUGGUGUCCCAUGUCUAAUUCAGGCCCUGGUGUCCCAUGUCUAAAUCAGGCCCUGGUGUCCCAUGUCUAAAUCAGGCCCUGGUGUCCCAUGUCUAAAUCAGGCCCUGGUGUCCCAUGUCUAAAUCAGGCCCUGGUGUCCCAUGUCUAAAUCAGACCCGGAUUCAAACGGACUUCCAGAGUUGAGUUGGAGGGCUCUAUGUCACGGAAAGAGCAGGUGUUCUUAAUGUUUUGUACACUCAGUCUAGAUGUCGAUGUUCGGUUUCCAUUUAUUUCUGUUUAAGUGUUCUGAUGACUUAACCUCUAUGUAAGGAGCGCUCUGCUUCUUAAUUUCACUGAUAAUAACCUUGAUGUGUUUCUCUCUCUCUCUCUAAAUGGUGGAGGGUAUUGGAAGAAGAGAUCACAUGCUUCUAUCUAGCCUUUAUGACUUUGAUAUGUAUUCCUGUUUUUAUUUGACUUACAUAUGCAGUAUUGACUUAGAUUCAUGCAUACAUAUGCAGUAUUGACUUAGAUUCAUACAUACAUAUGCAGUAUUGACUUCGAUUCAUACAUUUCCUACAUUGUAUAAAAUGUGUAAAACCUUUCUCUAACCUUUUUAUAAAACAAGUAGGCUUGUUGAUAGGAUGCCAUGGCAGAGCCUUUUUGAAAAAUACAGCAAGAUGGCCGACGCAGUAAGACUGCCCUGUCCCGGGUCGUGGUUCAUUAGCAGAUGGCCCACGCAGUAAGACUGCCCUGUCCCGGGUCGUGGUUCAUUAGCAGAUGGCCCACGCAGUAAGACUGCCCUGUCCCGGGUCGUGGUUCAUUAGCAGAUGGCCCACGCAGUAUGACUGCCCUGUCCCGGGUCGUGGUUCAUUAGCAGAUGGCCGACGCAGUAAGACUGCCCUGUCCCGGGUCGUGGUUCAUUAGCAGAUGGCCCACGCAGUAAGACUGCCCUGUCCCGGGUCGUGGUUCAUUAGCAGAUGGCCCACGCAGUAAGACUGCCCUGUCCCGGGUCGUGGUUCAUUAGCAGAUGGCCCACGCAGUAUGACUGCCCUGUCCCGGGUCGUGGUUCAUUAGCAGAUGGCCGACGCAGUAAGACUGCCCUGUCCCGGGUCGUGGUUCAUUAGCAGAUGGCCCACGCAGUAAGACUGCCCUGUCCCGGGUCGUGGUUCAUUAGCAGAUGGCCCACGCAGUAAGACUGCCCUGUCCCGGGUCGUGGUUCAUUAGCAGAUGGCCCACGCAGUAAGACUGCCCUGUCCCGGGUCGUGGUUCAUUAGCAGAUGGCCCACGCAGUAUGACUGCCCUGUCCCGGGUCGUGGUUCAUUAGCAGAUGGCCCACGCAGUAAGACUGCCCUGUCCCGGGUCGUGGUUCAUUAGCAGAUGGCCCACGCAGUAAGACUGCCCUGUCCCGGGUUAUGUUCAUUAGGCACCAAAUGUUAAAAAACGGACUGAAAUGGGGAUGUUCUACCUCCACCUGUCCAGUAUAAAACACUCAUUUUAAUACGAGAACAAACACACAUUUUAAUUUUUUAUUUAGCCCCUAUUGAACUAAGCAAGAACAAAUUCUUAUUUACAAUGACGGCCUACCCCGUUCAAACCCUCCCCUAGCCCGGACGACGCUGGGCCCGGGAUCGAACCCGGGUCUAUAGUGAUGCCCUCUGCGCCACUAAUGAACACGACCUCAGAAGUGGCACCAAUGGACAGACGGGUAGAAGGCAAAGAGGAUCUUUCCUGUUAUAUCAUGAACACGUUGACAGUGCUUUCGCCUCCAGUGUAAAAACCAGACCGGUGUGAGUAAGAGCAGACUUAUUGACUUGUUGCUGAUACUGUGUGUUUUUCAGUUUAUAAUAAAAGGAUGUGUCCAUAUUAUUAUGUAACUGAUGAACUUUGUAUGGCUUUUACUACUUGUAUGAUUGGUAGGGCAACGUGUUACUACUUGUGUCCCAGAUCGGCUAGUCUCCUGGCCUGGUCCCAGAUCAGUUAGUCUCCUGGCCUGGUCCCAGAUCGGCUAGUCUCCUGGCCUGGUCCCAGAUCAGUUAGUCUCCUGGCCUGGUCCCAGAUCAGUUAGUCUCCUGGCCUGGUCCCAGAUCAGUUAGUCUCCUGGCCUGGUACCAGAUCGGUUAGUCUCCUGGCCUGGUCCUAGAUCGGUUAGUCUCCUGGCCUGGUCCCAGAUCGGUUAGUCUCCUGGCCUGGUCCCAGAUCGGUUAGUCUCCUAGCCUGGUCCCAGAUCGGUUAGUCUCCGUGCCUGGUCCCAGAUCGGUUAGUCUCCGUGCCUGGUCCCAGAUCGGUUAGUCUCCUAGCUUGGUACCAGAUCGGUUAGUCUCCUAGCUUGGUACCAGAUCGGUUAGUCUCCUAGCCUGGUCCCAGAUCGGUUCGUCUCCUAGCCUGGUCCCAGAUCGGUUAGUCUCCUGGCCUGGUCCCAGAUCGGUUAGUCUCCUAGCCUGGUCCCAGAUCAGUUAGUCUCCUGGCCUGGUCCCAGAUCAGUUAGUCUCCUGGCCUGGUACCAGAUCGGUUAGUCUCCUGGCCUGGUCCUAGAUCGGUUAGUCUCCUGGCCUGGUCCCAGAUCGGUUAGUCUCCUGGCCUGGUCCCAGAUCGGUUAGUCUCCUAGCCUGGUCCCAGAUCGGUUAGUCUCCGUGCCUGGUCCCAGAUCGGUUAGUCUCCGUGCCUGGUCCCAGAUCGGUUAGUCUCCUAGCUUGGUACCAGAUCGGUUAGUCUCCUAGCUUGGUACCAGAUCGGUUAGUCUCCUAGCCUGGUCCCAGAUCGGUUCGUCUCCUAGCCUGGUCCCAGAUCGGUUAGUCUCCUGGCCUGGUCCCAGAUCGGUUAGUCUCCUGGCCUGGUCCCAGAUCGGUUAGUCUCCUAGCCUGGUCCCAGAUCGGUUAGUCUCCGAGCCUGGUCCCAGAUCGGUUCGUCUCCUGGCCUGGUCCCAGAUCGGUUAGUCUCCGAGCCUGGUCCCAGAUCAGUUAGUCUCCUGGCCUGGUCCCAGAUCGGUUAGUCUCCUGGCCUGGUCCCAGAUCGGUUAGUCUCCUAGCCUGGUCCCAGAUCGGUUAGUCUCCUGGCCUGGUCCCAGAUCGGUUCGUCUCCUAGCCUGGUCCCAGAUCGGUUAGUCUCCUAGCCUGGUCCCAGAUCGGUUAGUCUCCUAGCCUGGUCCCAGAUCGGUUAGUCUCCUAGCCUGGUCCCAGAUCGGUUAGUCUCCUAGCCUGGUCCCAGAUCGGUUAGUCUCCUAGCCUGGUCCCAGAUCGGUUAGUCUCCUAGCCUGGUCCCAGAUCGGUUAGUCUCCUAGCCUGGUCCCAGAGGUUACAAGCAUAGUUACACCAGACUGUAUGUUACAAACAAUGGUGAGCGUGGCGUUCAAUCUGGUUUUCCGAGGCUAAAAAAAACCUCUAGGAGAAAAUACAACUUUUUUUUUUUUUUUUAAGAACUGAGGCUUUUCAGUCAGAACUUAAUCGCCAGGUUUUAUGGUUGCUGUAUUUUUUAUUCAUAGGAAAGACUUAUUUUACAUUAAAAAAUAAAGUAGCAAAUAACCUUUCCAUUUGCCAAGUUUUAUAUUGCUGCUUGUAUAAUAUGUACACACUGUAUGGGACUAACAAAGUGGAGGAGGAAAUUAGUGUUCAUAGUUACCUGUCCAUUUGAAACUUGUUGAUAAAAUGUGCUUCCUACGCUCUGACAUGUACAGCUGUUAACCAAGUUGUAAUAAAGCUUGUAUAAAACACC